rnacentral:lncRNA from 1 species
AAAUAAUUGUAUGUUGUUAGCAAUGAAUAUAUGUAAACCUUUAAAAAUGAAUUAAUGUUUUUGAUAUAGCAUGUUUAAUUCAAGCUAGUCUGUGUUCAAUUAUUGGAAGCAGGGAGUGAACGCUCUAAGAAAUAAAAUAACCUAGGGUGAAACACCUUAUUUUAUGAAAAACUAAUUUUUAGGAGCAUUUUCUUUUAUACUAUGUAAAAAAAUCCCUGAAAGAUGAACAGACUUUGACAGCUGUUAUAGGUGAGAGCCUCAAGUAAAGAUAAAAUUAAAUGUUUUCCUUAAAUGCUAUUGCCCAAAUAAUGAAUAUCCAUAAUUGAAAACUGAGAUUACCUUAUACUUUGCUUUGUUCUCUCUGCCAGAGUCCUACCCACUGUAUUAGUUGUUAGAGUUGUGGAACUUAACCGAAGCUUUCUCUGGAUUCCAGAUGUUUUAAGAAUAUUUUCAGCUGCAUGGCUUGACAGCCUUGGGAUUCCCUCACACAUUCACAGUCUUUUUUGGAUCAGUCUGAUGUGAGCAUGAAAACUGGGAGUUGUGGAGCCCACUUAGGAAAUGAUUGCAAUUGUCCAGGAGACAGAUGAUGGUAAUUAAGUUUCCAUCAGCCUGGAACUCAGGACAGAAGAUACAUAUUCUGUAUGUAGAGAAUCACUGGAGGUCAAAUGUCUUUGCCAAUUUGAGUUUUUCCACUUGAACAAGAAAAGACUGUCAAGGGAAAGCCAAUCAAUUUCACAAUGUUUAGGUAAGUAUAAAUGUAAUAAAGAAUAUUACAUUUGAAUGGAUUUAGUAAUUAAAAAGCAUAAUGGAAAAUGGAAAGUAAAAACUGCUGUACAGAAAAGCCAUCUUAUUACUUAGUGUAAUUAUUUAUGAAUAAAUUUUGCAUCUCAAAAGACAUGAAAAUUUUUACUUCGAAAGAAAACUACAAAACAAAGAAAUGGAAAUUUAUUUGAUAAUUUCAAUAGCUUUUCAGUUCCCAGAAAAAUAGAGACUCAAUCCAGUCUCUUUACUUUUUAAGACUGGAUUGUUAAUUUGGGGUAGCUACUAUUCUCAGUAAAUAUACAUAAGUUCAAGAAAAUCUAAAAAUAAUUUUAUUUCAGAUGCUGAAGAUACAGGGCACAGCUUCCUUCUUGAAUUGCUUGUUGUUUACCUAGUUGACAAUCUACUGGGAAAAAGAAAUUCCUUUUCCAGAAAAGGUUUUCACCAAUUUCAAGGAAUCCUUUAAUGAAAAGAUAAUCCAGUUACUUAGGACAAAAUGUAUUUGUUGAUUGGAUUAAUAUAUGUUGAGAAUAGACUAUAUGCUAGGCAUUUUCCUGGGCUCUGAAUUACAUGAAGAACAAAACUCUUCCAGUAUGGUGCUCACUAAUACUAAGACUUAAAUCAACUGGGUUGCCUGUUUAAGUAAAGGACAGAGUCCAUCCUUAUCUAAUGCCUCCAUUUGAGUUAGAGUACAAGGAUUGGCAAAAAUUGCUACUGUUUACUGCCAGGGAAGCAAUGAACAGAUUGAAAGAAAAAUAUUAAGACAUGAGUGUGUUUGUUUGCACUGCUUAAAGCACCUAGAGGAAGACACAAGUAGAAUAUUAUGAGCCAUUAAUAGAUUUCAUCUACCUUCCUAUUAAUUUAUCCUGUCACCAACUCACUCUGGGGUUUUCUGAUUAUCCCAAAAAUCUUAUCUUUUUCAAAAUGUACACAUUAGCAUCAUACAAUUAAUUUUUUUUUGUCUUUUUUAGACAGAAUCUCACUCUGUUGCCCAGGCUGGAGUGCAGUGGCAUAAUCUCCCCUCACUGCAACCUCUGCCUCCCAGGUUCAAGAAUUCUUGUGCCUCAGCCUUCCAACUAGCUGGGAUUACAGGCAUGGGCCACCACACCUGGCUAAUUUUUGUAUUUUUAGUAGAGAUGGGGUUUCACCAUGUUGUCCAGGCUGGUCUCGAUCGCCUGACCACAAGUGAACCGCCUGCCUUGGCCUCCCAAAAGUGCUGGGAUUACAGGCAUAAGGCACCGUGCCCAGCUGGUACAAGUAAUUUAAUUGAAAUAUUUGCAAGGUGCUUCAAUUUCGGCACAUAAUAACUGCUCUAUGAGUCUGUUAGAUAAAAUAAAAAUACAUCUUUUACAUAUGUGUAUGCAAUAUAUCAGUCAUUUAAAAAAUAUAAACAUUUCAUUUACAAUGCUAUUAUUUCAUGGUUAAAAGAUUUCAUGUCUACUUUAGGCUGAAACAUUUAAAAUGACAAUAGGAUUAUUACAGGUCUUUGGGUAAGCACAUCUUUGUGUGAUUGGAAAUUGGUAAUAAAGUAAGGCAAGAAGGCAGAAGGUAAAAAUCUUGCCUUCACCAAGAUUUACUUUGGUUCAAAUGAAUUAUUUUCCACAUCACAUAAUUAUGAAAAUCUGUGAUUUUGUACUUUUUUAUUUUAAAUAGUUAUAAUACUGUUUCAAUGAAAACCUGUGUUAAGUAAAAAUUGUAUAUGGAUCCUUUGACAGAAUAAUGUGCAUUUAAAAGAAUUUUAUCACCCUCUUCGAAAGUAAUAGUAAAAGCUAAUAUUGGUGAGAAAUACAGCUUAAAAUAGAAUUUUACCAAGUUAGGGUUUUAUUUUCCUCUUAAUUUAGGUUUUUAAUAAUUUUAAAUAGUACUUUAUAUAGGAUAACACUUCUCAAAUCUUGUCCUCAAAAUUCUAACACCUCCCAACUAUGGUUUAGUAAUUACCAAGAAAUAAAAUGAUUCAAAUAUAAAUGGUCCUGCAUGUUGUUCCUGUUUCAUUUAUGAUAGCGAUGAUCUGGAAUACAAAGGAAGUGAGUAAAAUUUUUACGCAUUAGUUUUAAAAGACUCUUUUAAAAAAACAAAUCUACCCCUAAACAUUUCAUUAUCGUCAUUAUCAUUGGUCACAUGACAAUUGUUAGUCACUUCAAACCUGUUUAAUCAGAAUAUCUAGUUUUAAAUUAACUUGUAUAUUCUCAGUAUUGCUUAAGAAGAGCUUAGCUUUCAAGACUAGCUAUUGUAGUUUAUUGGUAGAUUUUCAAAUAGUUGGGAUUAUCUAAUCACUGUAUGAUAUAGACUGACUUCUCUCCUAGCAUCCACAACAACUUAUAGCAUUUAUUUUUACAUGUUUUGCUCCACUAUUGUAAAUUCUUUGAGGAUGGAGGCAAUUUUUUACUUCUUGUUGUACCUCUUAUAAUCGUUUCAUACAUUGUAAAUACUUCAUAAAUGACAGUGGCAAAUUUUAAAGAACCUACUAUGUGCGGGGUACUCUAGAUACUAUUUUUAAUCCACACAAAACUAUUAUCCUUGUUUUUCAGAGGUGAAUUGUAGACUCUGAGAGAUUGAGUGACUUGCCAGAGCUCACAAAGGUAGUAUAGAGCCAGGUUUCAAAUCUCUGACUCUCAAAUCUCCAAAAUUUCUAUUUUUUCCAUUACGCCAUUCCACUUCAAUAAAAUGCUUAAUGAAUGAAUGUGUUAACCAAAGAAGCCGACCUAAUUUUUUUGUAUAUGCAUUAAAACCAAGAUGAGGAAAUGGAAAGCAAUAAAUCACCAUGUCUCUAAAUUCCUUGAGACAGU